UCUACUGGACACUCCCUGUUUUGAAAGAUACCUUCAGUUUUCCCUUCAAUCCAGGUCCAAACCACUUUUGAGCACUUAGGUGGGGUGCUGGGACGGUUCUGGGUAGCACAGGUUCUUUCAUACCCUUCCAUUCAAGACAGGAAAACAGUAGCCUUUCCUCCCAUGUUACAGAUGAGAUCUGGAAGGGGAGGGGUGUGUGUGUGUGUGUGUGUGUGUGUGUGUGUGUGUGUGUGUGUUUGAAGAGCUUACUCAUUGAGAAUCUGGUCUCACCCAUGUUCUUCAUGUGGGAAGAAGCAAGAAAAAGCUCCUUGCUUUUGCUCCUUUAGGGUGUGGGGUGGCACCCAGCCUGUCAUCUGGACGUUGAGGUCAACACACAUGUCACUCCUGCAGGCUAAAUCAAUAUGCCCUGUUCAUUAUGUUGUGGGGGAUUAAUGGACAAUGAAAGAAACUUUGCUUGUAAGUAGAUGCUCAAUAAACACUAGUUACUGCGUUGUUAGGGGUAUUGCUUUCAGACUAUGCGGCCCACACGGGUCUGCAUGCACCCUACUCGCAAUGGAUAGAAACAGAUGGAAGGGCCUGGGUUUAGGAGGCCAGGCGGUAAGAACAAAGCGGCUACCAUGGUCCUCAAAGGCUGGAUCCACCGGACCUUUCAGGAUAUUUACAGCGAGGGUAGCUUUGAUGACAGGAGCCGCGCGCGCGGAACUCUCGGGCUCAGGCGAUGGACAGCCCGGGCAUGUUUGGGGACCGGACCGUCGCGCGACAACGCCGCGGAGCCGGCGGAAAUGGUGCUGAUGUCCCGCGGCGGGCCUGGGAGCCGCAAGCACGGUCGUCCUCCCGGGCCCGCCGAACGCAGUGCCCAACCCAGUUCCUUCCCUACCGCUCGGGGACGCGGCCCCGGGGACCAGCUGGGCCCCCAGCAUGGUGCUCAAGGUCUUCUUCCCCACGUGCUGUGCCUCGGCAGACAGUGGCCUGUUAGUGGGACGAUGGGUUCCAGGACAGAGCAGUGCUGUGAUCCUGGCCGUGGUGCACUUUCCCUUCAUCCCCAUCCAAGUCAAGGAGCUCCUGGCCCAGGUGCAGAAGGCCAGUCAAGUACCAGUGGCUGUGCUAGGGACCUGGUGCCACCGUCAGCAGGAACCGCAGGAGAGCCUGGGGAAUUUCCUGGAGGGCCUGGGCACCAUCUUCUCCCAUGACCCCUGGUUGCAGCUCUGCCGGGAGAGGGGUACCAGACUCUGGAGCUGCAAGGCCACUUACCCGCAGAUGUCUAACCCUCUGGACAUGCACCCCGAAGAGCAGGUCAUGCUCAUCUUCUAUGAUCAGCGCAAGCUGCUGCUCUCCUGGUUGCAUCCGCCUCCAGUCCUGCCUGCCUGCCAGAUGGGAGACACCACAGCCAGCACCGGAGGCCUAGCUGACAUCUUUGACACAGUGGCACGCAGCGAGGUGCUCUUCCGAAAUGACCAAUUUGAUGAGAGACCCGUACGCCUGAGCCACUGGCAAUCAGAGGGAGUGGAGGCCAGCAUACUUGUGGAGUUGGCAAAGCGGGCCUCUGGGCCUGUCUGCCUGCUGCUGGCUUCUCUGUUGUCCCUGAUCUCAGCAGCUAGUGCUUGCCGGCUAUGGAAGCUGUGGCCACUUUCCUUCAUCAGAAGCAAGCUCUCCACUUGUGAGCAGCUCCAUCACCGGCUGAAGCACCUCUCCUUCAUCUUCAGCACGGAGAAAGCCCAGAAUCCCAUGCAGCUGAUGAGGAAGGCCAACAUGCUGGUUUCUGUGCUACUGGAUGUGGCCCUUGGCUUGCUGCUGCUCUCUUGGCUCCACAGCAAUAACCGAAUUGGACAGCUGGCCAAUGCCCUGGUCCCUGUGGCUGAUAGUCAAAGCAGUGUCUCCGUGGAAGUCUUGUGGGCUCUCUUCUGCUCCGUCAGUGCGGAUGCCUGCUGGGUCUGUUUGUUGCCAGGCCAGGAAUCUGGGGCAGCAGUGGGCUCCUCUCAGCUUUGUGAGAUCUGUGGAGGUCAUCCCAGUAGGAAAGAGGAGCUGGAGCUGGGUGAACGGCGCGUGGCUGAGGAGCUCCAGCAUCUGCUGCAGUGGCUGAUGGGUGCUCCUGCUGGGCUCAAGAUGAAUCGGGCACUGGAUCAGGUGCUAGGCCGCUUUUUCCUGUACCACAUCCAUCUGUGGAUAAGCUAUAUCCACCUUAUGUCCCCCUUUAUUGAGCAUAUCCUGUGGCAUGUGGGACUCUCAGCCUGCCUUGGACUGACUGUUGCUCUGUCCAUCUUUUCGGAUAUCAUCGCCCUUCUCACCUUCCACAUCUAUUGCUUCUAUGUCUACGGUGCCAGCUCUUCAUUGGGACCUUGCUCUUCACCAUCCUGGUCUUCUUGCUACCCACCACCGCUCUGUACUACCUGGUAUUCACCCUGCUCCGGCUCCUGGUGAUCACUGUGCAAGGCUUAAUCCAUCUACUUGUAGACCUCAUCAAUUCCCUGCCACUAUACUCCCUUGGCCUUCGACUCUGCCGACCCUACAGGCUGGCAGCUGGUGUGAAGUUCAGAGUUCUGGAAAAGGAGGCAGGCAGACCCCUCCGCCUCCUGAUGCAGAUAAACCCCCUGUCCUAUAACCAUGUGAUGCACAUCUACCGUCUGCCUCGCUGUGGCUGCCAUCCCAAGCACUCCUGGGGUACCCUGUGCCGAAAGCUGGUCUUCGGAGAGCUCAUCUACCCCUGGAGGCAGAGAGAGGACAAACAGGACUGAGGAGCUGGACACAGCCUACCCAUAGCUACUGCACAACCAUCACGCCUCCUCUCUGCCAGGACAGCACUGACCACGGGGUCAUCUCAGGUCCCACAAGGGCCAACCAAACACUCUGUGUGCUGAAUGUAGGCAGGCCUUACCCUUGAGUUACUACUUUGCUCUCGGACCCUGCCAGCUUCAGUCCUGCACUCUAUCUAGCACAGUGGUUCUCAACCGUCCCAAAGCUGACCCUUUAAUACAGUUCCUCAUGUUGUGGUGACCCCAACCAUAAAAUUAUAUUCAUUACUACUUCAUUACUGUUAAUUUUGCUACUGCUAUGAAUCAUGAUAUAAUAUAAAUAUCUGUGUUUUCUGACAGUCAUAGGUGAACCCUGUGAAAGUGUCAUAUGACACCCACCCCAAAGGGUUGAGAACCACUGCUCUAGUAUCACCUAUGUAGGGACCCACAUGGUUUUUGUAGUCAUUACAGUGAGCCUGAUUCCUAGGAGUUCCCGGACCCCGUGGGAUAUGCUGGCAGGUGCUCUUGGCUGCUUUAUUGGGUGGGAGCACUCCUGGGCACCUGGUGUACUUCAUAAGCCUCCGCAGAACAUUUCCAUUGGGAAACAGGCAGCUGCUGAUCCCUUAGCCCCUCGAACUAAUCCCUCACCCUGUACUUCAUUGGGCUUACUUGCUACUCUGGAGAUUGCUUUGUGAAGUUGCUGUUAAUAGGCCUUUGGGUACCCUUUGCUUGAAGUUAUAUCAACUGAGGUGAUUGGAUACCUGCCAACCUGGCUAGUGCUCCAUGUAUGAAUAGGCCCUUUGGCAAAAUAUUCUAUGUUCUCUUAUAGACUCCUUAUGGGACCAGAUAGCUUCCUUCUGGACAGGCACUUCAUGGCUCAUUGUGUGAAUGAUCUUGGGGUGGUGAAAUGGCCAGGGUUGGUUCCCUAACACUUAGUGGGACCCCAUGUGAGCUAGUCCCUAGGGGGCAGGAAACCUCACUGCCUGAAUUGUCUACUGUGGGCAGGAGGGGACAGCCGGCCCAGCCUGUCUUUCAGGGGCACUUGGGACUAUUGACAUUGGUCUGUCUGUGCCUGCUUCCUCUUGCUAUAGGUCACAGCCACUCUUAAGCAGCCAGUGGAGGGUUUUGGUGAAGAUGAAUCCUGAUCCUGUGAUGACAAUAAAAAUCUCAUGAAUCUGGAGUA